GGGGAUUCCUCUGAGCUCUAAGGUGAAAUCUUCCUCCGUUCAUCUGCAAGAGAUUCAAGAUGCUGCUUGUGUCCACUUUGUUGGUCCUGGCUGCAGGUAUCCAGUCUUUGGAUGCUGUGGUAACAACAGCAGAUCCACGUGAGCUAUCUGCUAUCCUUGGUGACACUUUAGCAACACC